UACAGAGGGGGCAAGCGUUGUUCGGAAUUACUGGGCGUAAAGGGCGCGUAGGCGGCCUUCUAAGUCGAACGUGAAAUCCCUGGGCUCAACCCAGGAACUGCGUCCGAUACUGGAAGGCUUGAAUCCGGGAGAGGGAUGCGGAAUUCCAGGUGUAGCGGUGAAAUGCGUAGAUAUCUGGAGGAACACCGGUGGCGAAGGCGGCAUCCUGGACCAAUAUUGACGCUGAGGAGCGAAAGCUAGGGAGCAAACGGG
rnacentral:rRNA from 1 species